CUUUUAUUCCGGUAUUGUUAGAGUGGGUAUAAGCUUAUACCCACUCUAGGUAUUGUACGAGUAUUGUACAAGCAUUGCUUACAACCCUUGUGCGAGAGUUGUACAAUGCUUGUAAGUGGUAACUUUCAAUAAGUCUUGUGUGAGUCUUGUACAAGUAUUGUAUACAUGGCUUGUACAUUUCUCGUACAACACAAGCAGAAUACACGGGAGCGAUAAACGAAAUCAAAAACCAUCGUUGUACAUACAUUGUACAAGCCUUGUAACCACGCUCGUACAAGACUUGAACGAGUAUCGUAAUCGAUCUCAGCGAUUCAGUCCGUAAACACAGCCUUGUACAAGACUUGUUCCAACCUUGUAUACAAGUAUCGUUCAAACCACGUCUACAAGGCUUGUAGCGUUCCGUUAGGGUAAACUGGUUCAUAAACCCCCAUGGCACUACCACCACUCAGAGUCAAUUUGUCAAUUCAUUUGUUAUUGUUGGUUAUGAUUGUGGGGAGGUUUUUUUUUUCAAUAUCAACUCGAGAUUAUCAAGGAUAAUAAUAGCACAAUUAACGGUCAAACGUACAAAAUUGUCUAAUUAAAACUCAUCAUUAAAUUAAUAUAUUUAUUUGAAAAAAAAAUACUUCACCAAGUCAACGAUAUUGUGUAUUGAAAAAGAAAAAAAAUUACUGCAUUAAUAACUAAAUUAAUCACAAACAAAUCAAAAGUUUACAAUCAAGUUAGAGUUUACAUAAAAUGAGUGUAAAAAAAAUAUGUGUUGAGGAAGACCAACAAAUCUCUGAUGAUGGUGACAAGAAUCAAGAAAAAGUUGUCAUCAAUUCACUGGAUUACGACUCAUUAGCACAAAUCAUCAUGUUGUUGCCAAUACCAGAGAGGAUAGAUAUCCCGGGAAAAACAGUUUGUAUACAACCAUAUACAAUCAUAUACGACCAUAUAUGAUUGUAUACAAACUCAUACAGUUGUAUAUCGCCAUUUUCUGUAUACAAAUUUAUAAAGUUGUAUAUAUCUGUCUAGUGGCUACUUUGGUGACGAUUUUGGGAGUCAAGUGGCUACUUUGGUGACUCUUGGCUAGAUUGGUGACCGUCACCAAUCUAACAUCGUACGAUUUGUCUACUUUGGUGACUGUCACGAAAAGAGCCACUUUAUCAAAAAUAGUGAGAAACUUUAAUAAUAGUGUAGUUAAUGAACUACAAACAUUCAAGAUGACUUUUAUAGUUUAUUUAACCGAUAACGAUUAUAAUUAAAGAAGUUAGAAAUAUUAAAAAUGAAUAUAAAGACAAAAUAAUGGUAAAAAAGCUAAAAGAUUCAGUAAUUUGAAUUAAAAGAUUUUAAAUCACAUCGGAACAAUAUAACGUCAUUGAAAUCGAUCAAAAACAUUAUCAAGAAGUAUUGUAUAUCGGAAGAUACUAUGUAGGCAUCAUAUCUAUGAAUUAUUUGCUGUUAACAAGGUAAGUCACGAAACUGUACACUUCGUGACCAAUUGUACUGUUUGGUGACAGUUACGAAACUAGCCAGUAUAUACCGUCCGGCUAGUUUGGUAACAUUUAAUUACUGAUGUGUGUAUUAAAUGGUAACAAUGAUUUUCGUGAUGAGAGAAACAUUAUGACAGUCCCGGUAAUGACCAAAAAAACGAAGAAUAGACGACAUUUGUUGCCUGGUACUCAAGAUUUUCUGUCAAAUUUAACCAGCUUUAUCGGAAUACAACUUUUCUAGAAGCUUUCUGUUUUUUGAUUAUUAUCGGUGAGUUUUUUUUUUCAAAUUGUCUAACCGAAAUUCGAAAAUCCCAUGAGUUGUAUAGAUUGGUGACAGUAAAAAAACAGAAAUCACGUGAAUCGGCUUUGAAACUGCGAAGAUUUGUUCUUGGACACUGGUUUUAAGAUUUUUUGACACUAACCCGAGCAAUAAUUGAAAAAAAAGUCAAAAACUAUGAAAAACUGAAGUUUCGGAUAUUCGUACGUUACUAUGAAAAACUUACAACAAAAACUGAGAAUGAACGACGUUCGUUGACUAGAACGAGAUGUUUUCUUUCAUAUAUCAUACGACAGAUCCGAAUAUAAUUUGCCUGGAAGCAUUAAGUUUCUUAGACCGUUAGUUAUUAGGGAGUUUCUGUUUCACAGUUUGACUAGACGAAACUUAAAAAUCCUGUCAAGUGGCUAGAUUGGUGACAGUGAAAAAAUAAGAAUCACGUCAAUCAGCUUGAAAACUGCUUAGAUUUUUUCUAAGUCACAGGUCUCAACAUUUCUUGACCCUGACCUGCGCAAUAAUUGAGAAAAAGAAUCAGAAACUAUGGAAAAAUAACGUUUCAGAAAUUCGUACGUUACUAUGGAAAACAUACGACGAAAACAAAGAAUACAAGACGAUCAUUGACGAGAAUUAGAUAUUUUAUGUCAUUUUCCAUACGGCUGAUCCGAAUAUAACUUGUCUAGAAGCUUUACGUUUCUUGGACAGUUAGUAAUCAGGUGGUUUCUGUUUCACAGUUUGACUGGACGAAACUUAAAAAUCCAGUCAAGUGGCUGGAUUGAUGACAGUGAAAAAACAGGAAUCGCGUCAAUCAGCUGAAAAACUGCUGAGAUUCUUUCCAAGUCACUGGUCUUAACAUUUCUUGACCCCGACCUGAGCAAUAAUUGAGAAAAAAUUCAAAAACUAUGGAAAAUUAACGUUUCGGAAAUUCGUACGUUACUAUGGACAACAUACGACAAUAACAAAGAAUAAGCGACGUUCAUUGACUAGAACUAGACAUUUCCUGUCAUAUUCCAUACGCCUAAUCCAUAUACAACUUGUCUAGAAGCUUUACGUUUCUUGGACAGUUAGUUAUUAGGGAGUUUCUGUUUCACAGUUUGACUGGACGAAACUUAAAAAUCCAGUCAAGUGGCUGGAUUGGUGACAGUGAAAAAACAAGAAUCGCGUCAAUCAGCUGAAAAACUGCUGAGAUUCUUUCCAAGUCACUGGUCUUAACAUUUCUUGACCCCGACCUGAGCAAUAAUUGAGAAAAAAAACCAGAAACUAUGGAAAAUUAACGUUUCGGAAAUUCGUACGUUACUAUGGAAAACAUACGACGAAAACAAAGAAUACAAGACGUUCAUUGACUAGAAUUAGAUAUUUUAUGUCUGAUUCCAUACGCCUGUUCCGAAUACAACUUGUCUGGAAGCUUUACGUUACGUGGACAGUUAGUAAUCAGGUGGUUUCUGUUUUUUAGUUCGACUGGACGAAACUUAAAAAUCCUGUCAAGUGGCUGGAUUGGUGACAGUGAAAAAAUAGGAAUCGCGUCAAUCAGCUUAAAAACUGCUGAGAUUCUUCCUAAGUCACUGGUCUCAACAUUUCUUGACCCUGACCUGACCAAUAAUUGAGAAAAAAAUUCAGAAACUAUGGAAAAUUGACGUUUCGGAAAUUCGUACGUUACUAUGGACAACAUACGACAAUAACAAAGAAUAAGCGACGUUCAUUGACUGGAACUAGACAUUAUCUGUCAUAUUCCAUACCCCGAUCCUAAUAUAACUUUUCUGGGAGCUUUAAUUUUCUUAUAGACAGUUAGUUAUUAGGGAGUUUCUGUUUCACAGUUUGACUGGACGAAACUUAAAAAUCAUGUCAAGUGGCUAGAUUGGUGACAGUGGAAGAACAAGAAUCACGUCAAUCAGCUUAAAAACUGCUUAGAUUCUUUCUAAGUCACAGGUCUCAACAUUUCUUGACCCUGACCUGCGCAAUAAUUGUGAAAAAAAAUCAGAAACUAUGGAAAAAUAACGUUUCGGAAAUUCGGACGUUACUAUGGAAAACAUACGACGAAAACAAAAAUUACACGACGUUCGUUGACUAGAACUAGAUGUUUUCUAUCAUAUUUCAUACGACAGAUCCGUAUAUAACUUACUUGGAAGCAUUAAGUUUUUGAGACCGUUAGUUAUUAGGAAGCUUCUGUUUUACAGAUUGACUUGACGAAACUUAAAAAUCCUGUCAAGUGGCUAGAUUGGUGACAGUGAAAAAACAGGAACCACGUCAAUCAGCUUAAAAGCUGCUUAGAUUCUUUCUAAGUCACUGGUCUUAACAUUUCUUGACCGUGACUCGCGCAAUAAUUGAGAAAAAAAAUCAGAAACUAUGGAAAAAUAACGUUUCAGAAUUUCGUACGUUACUAUAAAAAACUUACGACAAAAACGAAGACUACACCACAGUUAUUGACUUGAAUUAGAUAUUCUCUGUCAUAUUCCAUACGCUCGAUUCGAAUGUAACCUGUCUGGAAUCUUCAAGUCUCUCGGACAGUUAGUUAUGAGAAAGUUUCUAUUUUUCAGUUUGACGAGACGAAACUAAAAAUUCCUGUUAAGUGGAUAGAUUGGUGACAGUAGAAAAACUGAAAUCACAUGAAUAAGCUUCAAAACUGCUUAGAUUUGUUCCGAGACACUGGUUUUAACAUUAUCUGACUCUGACCCAAGCAAUAAUUGAGAAAAAAAGUAAAAAACCAUAGAAAAUAGAUGUUCGGAAACUCGUACGUUACUACGGAAAACAUACGACAAAUACAAGACAAAAUUUGAAGAUAAUACAUAUUUUUCGUCAAACACUAGUUUUAACGUUUUUCAAAUCAAUACUAGUAAAAUUCAUUCACCUAAACUUUAAUUAUAUAAAUCUGAACAUAAUUUCGUGGACUUUGAUGUUUUGUAUAAAAAAAGUCACGAAUCUAGACAAUUAAUAUAUUUAUUCGUAUAAACUCAUUAUUAUAUAACAUGUGGCUUCUUUCGUGACAUCAGUAUGUAUAUGUAAUAGGAGAAUUGGCUUAAUUGG